rnacentral:rRNA from 1 species
UGGGGAAUCUUGCGCAAUGGGCGAAAGCCUGACGCAGCAACGCCGCGUGCGGGAAGAAGGCCUUCGGGUUGUAAACCGCUUUCAGCAGGGACGAAGGCGAGCGGGUUAAUAGCCCGUCAGUUGACUGUACCUGCAGAAGAAGGCCCGGCUAACUACGUGCCAGCAGCCGCGGUAAUACGUAGGGGCCGAGCGUUGUCCGGAAUCAUUGGGCGUAAAGAGCGUGUAGGCGGCCCUCUAAGUCCUGCGUGAAAUCCUGCGGCUCAACCGCAGGCGGUCGUGGGAAACUGGGGGGCUCGAGUGCGGGAGAGGAGAGUGGAAUUCCCGGUGUAGCGGUGAAAUGCGCAGAUAUCGGGAAGAACACCCGUGGCGAAGGCGGCUCUCUGGAACGCAACUGACGCUGAGACGCGAAAGCGUGGGGAGCAAACAGGAUUAGAUACCCCCGUAGUCC